rnacentral:ncRNA from 1 species
GAUAAUACGUUGACGAGAAGAGUAGAAUGUGAAAGGAUACAGAGAGAGAAGUCGCAGGCUGGAAGCUUCUUAUUUCGGAAACAUUUGAAAACUACCUCUGAGUGACAGCAAAACUGUCCGGUGAUUCCGUUAUCAUCAUUAGGAGUGGUUCUGACAUUGUCAGUACAAUUAGGGUGGAACCGCGAGUGAAGUAUACUCGUCCCUUGC